rnacentral:rRNA from 1 species
AUUGAACGCUGGCGGCAUGCCUUACACAUGCAAGUCGAACGGCAGCACGGGGGCAACCCUGGUGGCGAGUGGCGAACGGGUGAGUAACAUAUCGGAACAUACCCUAGAGUGGGGAUAACGUAGCGAAAGUUACGCUAAUACCGCAUACGAUCUAAGGAUGAAAGUGGGGGAUCUUCGGACCUCAUGCUCAUGGAGUGGCCGAUAUCUGAUUAGCUAGUUGGUGAGGUAAAAGGCUCACCAAGGCGACGAUCAGUAGCUGGUUUGAGAGAACGACCAGCCACACUGGAACUGGGACACGGUCCAGACUCCUACGGGAGGCAGCAGUGGGGAAUUUUGGACAAUGGGGGCAAGCCUGAUCCAGCAAUGCCGCGUGAGUGAAGAAGGCCU